GUUAAGCGACUAAGCGUACACGGUGGAUGCCCUGGCAGUCAGAGGCGAUGAAGGGCGUGCUAAUCUGCGAUAAGCGCCGGUAAGGUGAUAUGAACCGUUAUAACCGGCGAUACCCGAAUGGGGAAACCCAGUGUGAUUCGUCACACUAUCAUUAACUGAAUCCAUAGGUUAAUGAGGCGAACCGGGGGAACUGAAACAUCUAAGUACCCCGAGGAAAAGAAAUCAACCGAGAUUCCCCCAGUAGCGGCGAGCGAACGGGGAGGAGCCCAGAGCCUGAAUCAGCAUGUGUGUUAGUGGAAGCGUCUGGAAAGGCGCGCGAUACAGGGUGACAGCCCCGUACACAAAAGCGCAUGUGC
rnacentral:rRNA from 1 species